UACGGAGGGUGCAAGCGUUAAUCGGAAUUACUGGGCGUAAAGCGCACGUAGGCGGCUGAUUAAGUCGGAUGUGAAAGCCCCGGGCUUAACCUGGGAAUUGCAUUCGAUACUGAUCAGCUAGAGUGCAGGAGAGGAAGGUAGAAUUCCUAGUGUAGCGGUGAAAUGCGUAGAUAUUAGGAGGAAUACCGGUGGCGAAGGCGGCCUUCUGGCCUGACACUGACGCUGAGGUGCGAAAGCGUGGGGAGCAAACAGG
rnacentral:misc_RNA from 1 species